CUGGUGCCACUGCAGAACCUGCAAGCCCGUAUGGUGUGACGCUUCUAUUAUGAGGAAGAGUCUUGAAAGUUGCAGGAUAUUGUCCAAGCGGAAGACGAGUGUUGUCUGGUGCUGUAGAAGCUUGACUAGUCGGCGAGGCGCCACGACCGCCGGAGAAAGCCAACAGGUCCGGCGGAUACUGUCGGUAACGAUAAAGCAACGUGGCAAUAAAAUAAUACAAAAGAGAAGAGAAAAUGUUGGGAAAAUCUAAUUUUACACGAAGAAAAGGAAAGAGAAGAGAAAGGAAAAUAAAAAGAAAAUACAAAUUAUAUGCUAUAACGAAUAUAAUGGAGAGAGUGGACUUGGGCAAUCUCUAGCGUGCAUAUUGAAGUCAUGGCGACCGGAUCCACCGACCAGUCCAGUCGGUGGAAACUCACAAAGCCAAUAUGGAGGAGGCGAAGAGACGUUUGCAAUUAUUUACGGCGCGGUCGAGAGCCGGUCCUAUUGUGGUUAAGCAGCGAACGCAAAAGGGAAAGAUCCGCCGUCUCUCUAUUAUGUGAACAUAAUUUGGACAAGGUAAACGUUGUAUUCAUUCCUCUGCAUUUCGAAGUAAUAGUAGGUAUUGUCGAAAUUGAAAAUACUAACUGAAAAGACUAUUGUCGAAAAUUCAUAUGUACGAUAUUUCCGACAAAAUAUCUUUGACAUACAAUUACCUACUUAUUUAAAAUCUUUAAGUUAUCUGAAUUUUGGUAAUAAAGAAUUCAUUGGUAAAGAAAAUAAUUUGCAAUUGAUAUCUCUGCAAACUAAUAAGUAGAAGAUAAAAAGAAAGAUGUCGUUGACCGUUUUGCAAUGAAAACUCGUGCAGAAAUAGCAGCGUCAAUCUCGCAUUAACAUUUCAUUUUAUUCGACACAUUGUCCUGAUUUUCAUGCUUCUCUAUUAUAUUCAUCCACGGAAAGAGAAGUAUUAUCAUGAAAUAUUAGUGAGAUUUGCUAUUUUUUUAUUUCUAAUUAUGACUUUUCUUUUUUAUACGGCAAAAUACUGUUAUUUCACAAGAAAUAAUAAAUAUUUAUUUUGACCAAACGAUUGUUUAGAUUAAAAAUUUGUUAUUUUUCCAAAAAUAUUCUAUUGCAUAGAAUUUUUCUGGUCUGCAGUAAACGAAUAACUUGCGUAUAGAAAUAAAAAAAAAAAAUGUCGAUUAUAAAAAACAUUUCAUUCGAUACCACGUUGUUUUCUCCUCGUUUCAUUUAAGUUAUAUUAGUUUUGGGAAAAAUGUUUCUCUCUCUCCUUUUCCUACGUUUCCAUUCUGCUUUCUCUUUACCUCUCGUUCUUCUCUUUUCAACUCACAGCUUUAGAUAUGCAGUGUUUUUGUCGCGAUCCUCAAUAUUUGCAUAUUCGUAUAGAACAAACUUUAU